UAGGGAGAGGAGGAGAUCCACUCAGAGGAGGGAGGGCCAUGCUCCUGCCAAGCCUCCACAAGUCACUGCUCCCUGGUAACCAGCAGGUGAAGAAAGCUGUACACAGUUGUUCCACACAUGGGAAGCAGGAGGCCGGAAGCCUCUGGACGAAGCCCGGAAAGCUUUUCAGGCUGGGAGCCUGAGUCCCUCCAGCCACCAGCUUCGGUGGGAACAGCAGCAGCUCCGACUGGCUUCUCCUUCAGCUCUGCAUUCUGGUUGGUUGUCUCUGCCCAUCAGCGGCCAGCUCCAGGCCUGGUCCCACCCCAUCUGCCGCACUGUCACCCGGGAUUGGAUGAGCUCCGCAAGGCGAGGCUGCCUUGCCUCUCGCCAUCAGAUUCUUCAUUAAACAAAUGAAUCACAAUCCUAAUUAAUUUGAGCAACAGAAUUUAUGUAACUACUCCCAGCAGGAUGUCUGCUCUCAGUCGGUAGCGAGAUUAAUUCCUCUCUCUGGGAAAUUCCAGCCGCGCUGGUCAAUAAAACCUUAAUGAUGACAGAAAUUUCCCAUCUGUCUCUGCCCUGAGCAGGUAACCCCUGCUACCUAGACAAGAGAGAGGACAAGGACGGUGAGAUACUGUCAUCCUGACAGUCCUGACACACCUAGGACACACACUAGGCGCCAACUAAGGACAAGACUGCCAAACCAGGCUUGUCCUGAAUUACCUACACCCCAAAGGAGGUGUUUAACUUCUAUUUGUGGAAUGAAUAAAAAGUAUGUGUUGCUCGGUGUG
rnacentral:lncRNA from 1 species